GCUCCGUUGGUGAGCCAGCGGAGGGAUCAUUACCGAGUUUACAACUCCCAAACCCCUGUGAACAUACCAUUUGUUGCCUCGGCGGUGCCUGCUUCGGCAGCCCGCCAGAGGACCCAAACCCUUGAUUUUAUACAGUAUCUUCUGAGUAAAUGAUUAAAUAAAUCAAAACUUUCAACAACGGAUCUCUUGGUUCUG
rnacentral:misc_RNA from 1 species